rnacentral:rRNA from 1 species
GAUGAACGCUGGCGGCGUGCCUAAUACAUGCAAGUCGAGCGAACAGACGAGGAGCUUGCUCCUCUGACGUUAGCGGCGGACGGGUGAGUAACACGUGGAUAACCUACCUAUAAGACUGGGAUAACUUCGGGAAACCGGAGCUAAUACCGGAUAAUAUAUUGAACCGCAUGGUUCAAUAGUGAAAGACGGUUUUGCUGUCACUUAUAGAUGGAUCCGCGCCGCAUUAGCUAGUUGGUAAGGUAACGGCUUACCAAGGCAACGAUGCGUAGCCGACCUGAGAGGGGGACCGCCCCCCCGGAAACGGGACCCGGGCCAAACCCCCUAGGGGGGGACGCAGAGGGGAACUUUCCGAAAGGGCGGAAACCCUGACGAAGCAACGCCGGGGGGGGGAUAAAGGUCUUCGGAUGGUAAAACUCUUUUAUUGGGAAAAAAAAAAUGGGAAAUUAACUAGCCCCGCUUGGACGGUACCAAAUCAAAAAGCCCCGGCUAACUCCGU